UACGGGGGGUGCGAGCGUUGUCCGGAAUCACUGGGCGUAAAGGGCGCGUAGGUGGCCUGAUAAGGGUGUGGUGAAAGUCCGGGGCUCAACCCCGGAUCUGCCGUGCCGACUGUUGGGCUGGAGUACUGUAGGGGCAGGCGGAAUUCCGGGUGUAGCGGUGGAAUGCGUAGAGAUCCGGAGGAAGACCGGUGGCGAAGGCGGCCUGCUGGGCAGUUACUGACACUGAGGCGCGACAGCGUGGGGAGCAAACAGG
rnacentral:rRNA from 1 species